GACGAACGCUGGCGGCGUGCUUAACACAUGCAAGUCGAACGGAAUGGCCCUGCUUUUGUGGGGUGCUCGAGUGGCGAACGGGUGAGUAACACGUGAGUAACCUGCCCUUGACUUUGGGAUAACUUCAGGAGACUGGGGCUAAUACCGGAUAGGCGUUACUGCUGCAUGGUGGGGGUUGGAUAGUUUCGGCGGUUGGGGAUGGACUCGCGGCUUAUCAGCUUGUUGGUGGGGUAGUGGCUUACCAAGGCUUUGACGGGUAGCCGGCCUGAGAGGGUGACCGGCGACAUUGGGACUGAGAUACGGCCCAGACUCCUACGGGAGGCAGCAGUGGGGAAUAUUGCACAAUGGGCGGAAGCCUGAUGCAGCAACGCCGCGUGCGGGAUGACGGCCUUCGGGUUGUAAACCGCUUUCGCCUGUGACGAAGCGUGAGUGACGGUAAUGGGUAAAGAAGCACCGGCUAACUACGUG
rnacentral:rRNA from 1 species